CUCGGACAGUCUGUCCGCUGGGGUUGGAGGAGUUCGGCUGCCGGGUUGUUUCUCGGAUCCGGCAGCCUUGCAGAGUGUGUUGUAAAACCCUUCCCCCGUCAAGAGGGGACCCAGCCAGCCUGCGUCCUGCCAGCUCGGGGGACCGGAGGCGGGUGUCAGUGGUUAGAGGAAAACUUUCCAGCAGAGCGCCUUGCCGGAGCAAACCUGGCAUCUGUCAAGAACGCUCUCUGUGCGCUCUUCCUGCAAGGAGCUUCUGUUCCAGUGCAGUAGACGCAGAAGGCAAGCGAAGGUUUGUGCAUCUGAACAGCUAACGCUGAGGACCAGUUGGAAAAAUCACAGGCUCCUCAGCCCCAGCUAAUUACUACCUCCAGCAGCACCGCUAUAGGCCACGACAUAAAGCAGAAAACUCUUCGUUUUAUGCAAAACCAAGGGUGGCAAAGAAGGCAGCUUCCAACGAGUGGAAAUUGGAUAAUUGAAUCAAUGUGUUCUUUUUUAAAAGCGAGAGGAUGUAGUAAAGUAUCUAAUUUGGACUGAGGGCAAGCAGAAUGGCUUCUCAUGUUUCACACUAAAGAUGGCCCCCCAGAUAAGUGACACACAGACCCUGGUGAGAACAGUCACCUUUGCUGUAGGAUUACAGCCGGGCACAAAGUCACGAAUGCCACAGGCUGACUGUGGUCAGAUCAAGAUGUCAUGUAUGCUGAAUCUCUUCUGGGAUUCAGACGUCUUACAGUUGACUUGACUUAUCCAGCACUGAGACUGUUAGUCUCUACUCCCUCCAGAUUCCUCCUCUAGUCUUCCCAGCUCAGGAAAUAGCACUGCCAUUCACGUAGGUACUUAGGUGGAGACCCAAGGGCUCUCCCUGAGUUUGCCCCUUUCCACCCCUCCCCAGAUGCAGUCCAUCAGCAAGUGCUGUGGGCUCUGUGUUUGCAACACGCUCACCUUUUCCCUGCUGCUACUUUGGUCCAAGCCACCAUUGGUCUCCCACUAGACCCCCCCGCAACAGACGCCGGCAACUUCCACUCCUGGCCCUAGAGUUUACUCUCUGCUCUGUAGCCAAGAGUGGCUUUUAAAAAGAUACAUAUGAUCUUAAAAUAAUAAUUAGAAAAAAAGAUCACUUAGCUUUUCCUGCUUCAACACCCCCAGUGGUUUCACAUCGCAAUUAGAACUCAACCCAAACUUGCUUCUGUGGUCGCAGGCGUGUGGUAAUCUGUUGGCUGCCUCCCCUUUCCUUCUAUCUCCCUGGCUCUCUGUGCUUUACCACACUGGCCCCUUUGUCCCUUGAGCUGGUGCCUGCCACAGGGACCCUGAACUUGCUGUCCCUCUGUCAGAAAUUCCACGGCGGUUCUUUCUCACUCCUGAAGCUUCCACUCAAGUGUUACCUCCUUAGGGGGUCCUUGUCUGGCCACCCCGUUCCCCAAACUCAGCCAGUCUUGGUCUUAUCAUCCCAAUCUCUUUUUUUUUUUUUUUCAUUAAUAUAUCGCUGACAUUCCACAUCCUUUUAUGGAAUUACCUUAUUUAUAUCUGUGUGUUUAUUUUCACUUUUUGGUGUUUGUGCCCUGCCCUCCUCCCCCUUUCCCCAAAUAUAAGCCCCACGGGGACAGGAAUUUUGUCAGUAUUCGUGGCUGUCUCUCCAGACCUUGGAUAUCGCCUGGCAUCUGUGAGGCACAGAGAAAGCGUUCGUUGGACGCUGUUGAAGGAAAAGAGUUCGACUCCCACCUGGUCCUGAAUAAAUCCUCUUGAUCCAC